UAUAGCCCCGAGGCUCUGCAUUGAAACAGUUGGUGACACAGCAUUGCGUCUGAGAAUGUGGUCGGGUCUAGAAAGGACAUGCAGGCUGAGGAAGAUACAAUUGGAUGAAAAUAUGACAAUCACCAGGACUAAAUUCAGUGGGAGUGUCACAUUGGCAUUACGUGGUUCAUCUCCUCCUUUCCUCAUUUUGUUUCAGCUGGGGGCCAAUUUUUCCUCCCAAAUCCCACAGCAAGCCCGAAGACUUUUCUCCUCAUCAGUUCCUCUCAAAACAGUAUGUCACAUCAUUUUCGUCACGUUGGAAGGAAUUAUAGAGAAAAAAAGUGAGCCUACCCAGUCUAUUUUAACAUUGUUGUGUUUUAUCUCUCUGUUAUAAUCAUGCUGUACCACAUGUCAAGCCACAAGGAGAACCAGGUAAUAAAAUGGUUGUUGUUAUCAUCAUCAUCAUCAUCAUCAUCAUCAUCAUCGUCGUCGUCGUCGUCGUCGUCAUCAUCAUAUGAUCAUUAGGGUUGUGCAUUCGGGGUAAACCUUGCUCCACUUUGUUAAUGUGGGAUUUUACUCUGACACACUUCAUAUCCCAGCUUUUAUUAGGGGCUGCAAUUCAUUUUUUGGAUCCUUCUGAAAUUGGGAGGGUAGAUAUCUGUUUUUGGAAAUUGGACCAUUAUUGGGGGGCGGGGCUUCCCACCAAAGCUCCUCUUCCCAGCUUUUGUUUAAGGAGGCUUCUUACCUACUGCUGCUUCUAGUCUAGAGCAAGAGGCAGCUACAGGCACACUCUGGGCCUGCCUACACACCACUCCACACAUACUGUCGCACCUCAGGUUAGCUUCACCUUGCCAAAUACACCAGGCUGCACACAGGUUGACGUCUUUUGUAGUUUAUUAGGAAGUAGGAAAUAAAUAGUUCUUAAAAAGCAAAAGUAAAGUUCCAAAAGAUUGUUGCAAAACAAGGCUGUAAAGAAUAAUCCCAGAAAACAUUAGGCAUAAAACAAGGUCCCAUUAAUGCAUGACAAAGUACCAUGAACAUGAACACACAAGGCUGCAAGAUAAUCCGGGAAAGCAAGAGCUUGCUUCUUGACUCGAACGAGAAGUUGCUUUGACAAAGGUUUUUCUCUCAGCACACUCUUUUAAUACUCUUUGCAUAGCAUGAAAGCAUUUCUUUGGCCUCUGACCUCCCUCUUGUUUGCUAUUCUAACACUCCUGCGAACCCGGAAUUCCAAACAGCCAACUUGACCUAAAGAUUCCAUUUCGUCAAGGCCAGACAGCUUGUUAGCACUAGCAUCUGUCUGCAUGCUAUCAAACUGAGAGCUGUCCACCCUUCCUGAGUCAAUUUACACCUGGCGAACUUCAGUAUCAUCUUCAGUAUCAUCAACACCAUUCCCUGCCAUGGGAAAGCCUCCCUGUUCCUCAUCUUCCACAGCAGGAACACUCUGAACCUGAAUCCCAUAAUUCCCAUCAGAGUCAUCUUGAACCUGAAUCCCAUCAUCUUGAACCUGAAUCCCAUAAUCCCCAUCAGAGUCAUUCUGAGGCUCCAGCUGAGUCACAACACAUAAACUCUCGUUCCAAGGCAAGGAGGCAAGUUUUAGGAGGCACUUGGCUGGGGACGAAAGCAGGCUUUCGUGUCGGGCAGAUUUUUGUGUGGGGAGGGGGCUUCCCGUUUUGUGUUCCCAAAUAAGCAAAGACACAAAAGAAAUGGUAGAAAUGGAAGGAAUGAAUUCUGCGCACAACUCUAAUCAUCAUCAUUAUUAUUUUGGUGUAUUAUACCAUCCUUGGAUGUUUUCGUGGGAUGGUUGUGCUUUUGCUUUUUUUCAUUUUGGGGGGAUUUCUGCAUGGUUUGGAAGCAAAAUGUACUGAAAUGCACCCCAAAAGUCUCUUUAAAAAUACUUAUUGGUUGGGGGCUUUGAGAGACUGUUUUGAGGUCUUUGCGGGUCACAAAAGAAAGGUUCAAAGGCCUUGGGUGGACCACAUGAUACAACUUGUCUGCUGUGACACAUCUUCUCAGAACUUCUAGUGUCCCUUGGAAUUCAGAAGGAAAAGAACAGGGAGACGAACACGGUGCGGCGUCUUCCUUUCCCGCAGAGCUGAGACAAAUUGGGAUAUUGGGAACAAAAAUGCAAAUCAAAUUGGAGCUUUCAUUCCCUUUGAUGAAUGCUCAGCUUUUCUUUUUGUUCUUCGGCUCCUUUGACAAUUUCAAAUGGCUAGACGUGCUUUGACAACUCUGGUGGAAACCAAAGGAGACAUUGUUGUCUCUCCCGUGUUCCACAUCAGUGGAAGGCACCCACCGGGGACAUCCUGCAUAAACAAGAUACAUAAUCAUAAAUGUACAAAGUGCUGAGAUGUGCUGAAGUCCCACCCACUGUGUAGGCGUAUCUGGGAGCCCCAGAUGUUCCAAUACACACACCGAGGACUGAAGCAUGAUUCCUAUAUUUGUAGUGUUCUUAGAUUCACAUUGGUGAUAUAGCCUUCAUGAUGGAGAUCCAAGUGAUUUCCAUGGACAUCUUUCACAAGGAGCCAACCAUUCUUAAAUAGUAAAUGCUGAGCAUUAAAACACUUAAGAUUUUUUGUUGUCCCUUCUUUCUGUGUUUUAUGUACUUCCUGCUUGUGGGUUGGUUUGGAUCCUUGACUUUGGAUUGGUUUAGGUCUUAUUCUCCUUCUAUUAUUGCUCUGGUCUUUGUGACCAUGGUAGUUUCAGAAAUGACUGAAGACCAGAGCCAGUCCAACAAUGAGACAAAUUAAGCGAUCGCUUCGGGCGCAAAACAUACGGGGGCACAGUCGAGACUGCUUUUUCUGUUGAUUUGUUGUAAAACAUGAUGUUUUGGUGCUUAAUUUGUAAAAUCUUAAUGUAAUUUGAUGUUUAAUAGGCUUUUCCUUAAUUCCUCCUUAUUAUCCAACAUUUUCGCUUAUCCAAUGCUUUUAUUUUUCAGUGAUUGGUUUUUUUUUGGGGGGGGGGGUGUGCCAAAAUUCUGUUCGCCUACACUUGAAAAAUACCUAGGGCCGGUCUCUAUUGAAGACUUGCUCUGAACCUUUUCAACUUUUGUGAACUUCCUUGGUUACUCAGGUCACACCUGCCUUGGCUUGACUCACCUGUAACUGCGUCUCCCUACUAAAGUCUCAUCUUUUCCGGCCAAUUGCAGUAGGUUCCUUAGCACUUUAAAUAUAGCACUGGUUGUGAACACUGCUAAGAACAUGGUUAGUUCAAAAUAUAGUUUAUAGGAGGCUGACCAACAAAACCAAGAAGGAUAUUGAUAAUCUAGAACAUGUCCAUGUUGUGGUAAUCUCUGAGUGGUUAGACUCAAUUUAACCCUCUCUGGGGGAGAUUCCACCAAAAAUCAGCAGAGUAGCAAAAGCUUUCAAAUGCAACAGUUACUUACACGGGGUGAGCAAGAGAUGCCUUUGACCAUGGACUGUGGAGUCUCAGUAAAAGUUCAAAAUUUAUUCAGGUAAAAAGAACUCCAUUGUAGAUAGAAAGGCUUGGGAGCUGUCUAGUCUACUCUAGACUGGUUUCUAAGGAAAAAUAAGAAAAGAAAAAUAACAAACAUCUAAAUAGUUACAUCUUGCCAGGAGAGACAGCAAGAUGCUGCUUGUUAGCUAGAAGAACAAAGGGAGAAGAGAGAACCAAAAUGGUUCCAACCUCAUGGUCCAGUUUAUUGGGGCCAUAAAAGACAUUCUGACCAAUGGGAAGUUAGUGUCCCUAGAGAUUCACAUUUCUACUAACUUCAAAGUAAGGGAUGUGACGUAAACAGGAUGGAGUGAAACACAGUAAAGCCUGUCUAGGCAUGCUUUGGAAACAGGGAAAGGAUUCCCUCAAUCUAACUCUAUCAUCUAACUACAUCUAGACUUCAGUAGUCCAGGAUGAUUCCCAACAGUCCAGAGGUGACCAAAUGUUUGGAAACCAAGCCGUAUAAGGAGUGGCUUGUGGAGCAGGGGAUUCGCUAGAAGAAAAGGCUGAUGGUGACAUGGGAGCCAUGUUUCUGUAUUUGGAAGGAUAUCACAUUGAGGAAGGGGCAGCCUUGUUUUCUGCUGUUUUGGACACUAGGACACAAUUGAGCCAUGGAUUCAGAUUGCAGGAAAAGAUAUUCCACCUAAAUAUUAGAAAGACCUUCCUAAGCUUUGACCAUUUUGGUUGCCCUUCUCUGGACAUAUCCUGACUUGUCAAUAUCCUUCUUGAACUCAGAAAUGGACACAAUAUUCCAGGUGAUAUUUCUGCUAGAUCUCAUUCUCUUCCCUGCUUCUUUUUAAAUAUUAGAUUACUCUAUUGUUCUGAUUUAGAAUGGUUCCUUUUACAGAAAGAAGAGCCACAAGAAUAGGCUUAUGAAUAAAUUAAGAAUGGACAGAGCAAAAUCACUUCAAAUCGCCUGACAAAUGCUUGGGUUUUCAGCGCUGUUCUAGAGGUCUCUAAGGGCCAAAAACAUGGGAUCUGGGGAAUACAUGGGUCCUCUGGACCAAUCUACCCAAUUAUCUGCUGACACCAGAUCAGCUAAGAAAGCCAUAUCCCUGUUCUCAUUCCCAUGUGCUUCCUCCUCAUAUGCAGUGUCCAUUCAAAGGGAAGCAAUGCAAGUGUCAGGACCAAUCGAUUUCCAAGUUAGCCACCAGCCCCAAGAGCCCCUCUCAUUAGAAACAAUUUACAUGCCGCACAUCAGUAUGACAGCUCUAGCGAGGGAUUUGUUUAGCUAAUUUAGAGUAAUGGAGAAGAGAAAUUAAUCACGUUAACACUGAUGCUCCCUGGCAUGGCAAGGCGAAGGCUACACAUCAUGGCGGCACACCUGUCAUUUCUGACUUCUGCGCCUCCCUUGCCCAGGUCUCCUUGCCUCCCCUUCUCUGCCCCUGAGCAAGGAGUUCAAUGUUGUAAUCACAGCCUUGGGAUAUCAAGGCAGAAGCCUUGAGUGUGGGAAAAGCAAAAAAUAAAAUAAAAUAUGAACCUUCUUAGCAAGGUUAAAGCACACCAGAUAAUCUGUUUGAAGUUCUCCAGUGUGCUGAUGCAUCUGAACUGAAGCAGGAAAUGGAAAACAUGGAAGUUGGGGCAACUAAGAGAGAAUCAUUCGGUGCCCCAAAGCAAAAACAGGUGCCUGCCCUCCCAAAUUCAGGAGGUUCCCAAAAAAAAUGAAUCAGGGCUCCAACGAAACCCGGGACACAAAAUGGAUUGCGGUUUACCCAGAAUGCACAAGCCUAAUGCACACUUGGUGUCUCUGAUACUCUUCUGGUAAUCCGAUGCACAUCAUAUAUUUUUGAUGCAUAUCCAGAACUUUUGAUGAGUACUGGGUAUUUCCAAUGCAUAUCUGACACUUAUGAUGUAAGUUGGACACCUUUGAUGCACAUAAGACACUUCUGAUAUACAUCUAGUACAUCUGAUUUUAAAUUGUUAAAUUGUUUUUAUCUAUAUAUUGUUUUAAUUGCUUCUAUUUGUUCCUAGCUAGGGCUAGGAGGCAAUAUAGACAUCUCAUAAAUAAAUAAAUGGUUCUUGCUUCCUUCAGUAUGACUUUACCUUCCUUAUGGUUUAGAGUUACUUUCUGAAUUGUUUGUUUCCCCAUGGAGAGCCUUCUUUAACAAUACCAUUGUAAAUGAGAAGCCUACCUAUAAAAAAACCCCACUACCCUGGCUUAUCGAUUUUUUUGUUUUUAGAAAGAAAUAUUCAGUCUCUGUUCUUGAUUCGGAGCAUUUAGCUACAGAGUCACAUUGGCUGCCUUGCCUUCUCAUCCAUUUCUCGGCAAACCCGGUCGGACCAAAAAUAAUGAAUUUUGAAAAUCCUGAUAAAGUCCCAUCCAAAGCCUAGUAAAGGCAUUGCAGAUCUUUUCACUGACUUAAUUGGGUUAAUGUAUCAGCCAUAACCAGGAUACUUUCGUGCAAAACGUUUGGGGAAAUGUCAGAGAAAUUUCACCCUGCGAGUUGAUAUAUGACCACACAUACCUAUUCGGAAAUCAGGGAUCACAUGUAUCUAUAUUUUAAGGCUAAGCUUAUUUUGUCAUGACAGCUGACUUCCAUACCAGUUUGGUGUUUAAUCCACUCGGUGUUUUAGUCCAAACUUUAAAAGACAAAUCCAAGAUCCUGAACCCUAUCCCGCCAAAUAGGUUCCUUAUUGAAAUAACUCCUGCACAAUUCAAACUUAAAACCACUCUCCCACUGAUGUGGAAGCCAUAAACUUUUACUAUCCAUAAUAUAUAGCACUAUCAUUGAAGAGAGCACUGUGUUGGCAGUGGUGCUUUCUCUUUGCAGGACAUCCUUGGGAUAAUGAUUAGGCUUGUGCAUUUUGGCUGAACCUCAAUCUGAUUCGGAUUGCUGAAUUCCAGGAGACCCAUGGAUCCAUUUUUGCACAUCUCCCGAAAAUGGGUGGAUUGCCGAAUAGCCGUUUCCAGUCUGCAGCUGAAGGAUCCAGGAAGAUCUGGCCCAUUGGUGGGAAUGGGGAACUUAUGAGGGUCCCAUUUCGAUUCCUGGGAUCCUUUUCUUUCAUUCUUUCACGGGAGCCUGGGUUUGAAGAACGGGGUUAAGGAAGCAUCCUUCUUGAGGCCCUUUCCUUAGCUUGCAUAAGAUACAUCACAGUGUUCUUCUAUUCUGAUUGGCACAACAGGCAGGGUCCAUUGGGAAACCCUGUGCGAACAGCACACGGUAGACUCUCCGUGCUGCGUGGUGUUGAAUAGGGGAAGAAGAGCCGUGAUCGGUUGCCAUGUGGUCUCGUAACAGACAAAAAAAUGUGAUGGCCGAGCCCUUACCAUUGUGGCUAUCCAACCAAGCCAAAGGGAAUCGACCACUCUGAAUCCAUGCACAAGUCUAAUAAUGAUACAAGUUUUUUUAAUGAUCCUUUCCAGUCCUUUCCAGUACAUGGCAGUCCUAAGGUGGCCCUAUCAAAGGUAGGUUUUCUGGCCUACUCUUCAAUGGGCCAUUUUUUCAAAUAUUUAAAUAUGGCUCUUAUGUCUCCUCUCAGCCUUAUUUUCUCCAAGUUACCCAGUUCCCUCAGUCUUUCCACCAAGCUGGAGGGUAUCUCUUUUUUUUUGUUCAUUAUUUUUUAUUUUAUAAAGAAACAUAAUACAUCAAAAGUGGUGGAACAAUAUAUUGAUAGGAAAGUAAGGGAAGUGAAAGGUUCUGAAAAUAGGUGAAGAGAGGAAACCGGAGGGGGGGGGGGAGAGAAAGAAAGAAAAGAAAAGAAAAAUAAUAAUAAAAUAAAUUUAAAAAAUUGGUUGACUUCCCAUCUUGACCUCGGAGUUUUCUUUUUCGUUGAUUACAUAUUGGUACUUUCCCAUUGUCUCUUUUCGCUUAAACCGUUUUAUAUUGUAGACUAGCUGUGCCCGACCACGCGUUGCUGUGGCGAAGUAUGUAGAUAAGUCUAUCGUGACGUCCAUUCUUCUUUUUAUCAAGAAUUUUAUGAAGUUUGUCCAGUCUGUUUUAUUUUUACCCUCUCUUAUUUUUUGUGUUAGCUUAUCCAUUUGUAUCAUGUCCAAGAUUCUGAUUAACCAUUCCUCGGGAGUAUGAAGUUUUUUCCUUUUCCAGACUUUCGCUAUUGUUAGUCUGGCUGCGGUGCUUAUGUAGAAUAAUAUUCUGUCCUAAUUUUUUUUAAAAAAAUUUGAAUUUGUAAAGCUUAGUAAAGCUGGAGGUUAUCUCAAAACUAUUCCACCCUUUUAGCCAUUACAACAAGGGAAACUUUGCUUUCUUUUUCCUCCUGUUGAAGUUCAACAGGGACAAAUGCAAGAUACUUCACUUCGGCAGAAAAAAUGGAAAUCAAAGAUACAGAAUGGGGGACGAUGCCUGGCUUGACAGCAGUGUGUGCGAAAAAGACCUUGGAGUCCUCGUGGACAACAAGUUAAACAUGAGCCAGGAAUGUGAUGCGGCUGCUAAAAAAGCCAAUGGGAUUCUGUCCUGCAUCAAUAGGGGAAUAGCGUCUAGAUCCAGGGAAGUCAUGCUCCCCCUCUAUUCUGCCUUGGUCAGACCACGCCUGGAAUACUGUGUCCAAUUUUGGGCACCGCAGAUGAAGGGAGAUGUUGACAAGCUGGAAAGCUGGAAAGCGUCCAGAGGAGGGCGACUAAAAUGAUUAAGGGUCUGGAGAACAAGCCCUAUGAGGAGAGGCUUAAAGAGCUGGGCAUGUUUAGCCUGCAGAAGAGAAGGCUGAGAGGAGACAUGAUAGCCAUGUACAAAUACGUGAAGGGAAGUCAUAGACAGGAGGGAGGGAGCUUAUUUUCUGCUGCCCUGCAGACUAGGACACGGAACAAUGGCUUCAAACUACAGGAAAGGAGAUUCCACCUGAACAUUAGGAAGAACUUCCUCACAGUGAGGGCUGUUCGGCAGUGGAACUCUCUCCCCCGAACUGUAGUGGAGGCUCCUUCUUUGGAAGCUUUUAAGCAGAGGCUGGAUGGCCAUCUGUCGGGGGUGCUUUGAAUGCGAUUUCCUGCUUCUUAGCGGGGGGUUGGACUAGAUGGCCCAUGAGGUCUAUUCCAACUCUACUAUUCUAUGAUUCUAUGAUCCUCCCUUGUUCCUUGUAUGUUGUUUCUCAAAUCUCGUUUGGAAGCUCGAAGGCAGGGAUUGUCCGGCUCUUUAUCUUUGUCAACACCGCUUAGCUUUUUAUGCCACUUUGAGGCUCUUUCAGUAUAAAUGCAUUAAUUUUUUUUGGAAAUGUAUGUCUAGCUCAUGAGUCACCCAUUGCCUUUCCAGGUUUAACUCAACCGCUGCACAGCUAAAAAACAAGAGGCGCUUUGCUCAGACACGAGAAGGUGCCAGGCAUCGCAAAAGCCUCCCCAUUAGCAUGUUUUGAUCAUUUCUCAUUCAUUUUUUGCAGACAUUCAAAUGAAAUGCUCACCAUAAAAAAUAUUAAACGUCGCAUGCAAAUGAGAACGGCAUCUCCUUUUUUUCCCUCACAACAAUUCAUUAUCUCUUGAUAAUAUUUGUAAGCAGAUUCCUCUUGGAAAAAAGCAACAUAAUAACAACAACACUACCACACGCAUAUAAGCAAACUUCAUAGACAUUAAUUCAGAAGAAGGUUAAUUUGCCCCAGGGGAAUAACCCUGGGGAACUAUCAAAGCUAGAAUGCUUUAAUACGUUCCUUUAGCCUACAUUUUGGGGGGUCUUUUCUUGUUCACUAUCAAGGAGAAGAACUUCAUUCAAACAAACAAACAGAGUAACAGAAGACAUAUUAAAAAGAAAGACUGGGGCAUGAAAUGGAUCAAACUCUUAAUUGGAUCAAAGUCUACAAUUAGCAGAGGUUUGUUCAAGCAACAAUGUGUUAUAAUCAUAGAAUCAUACAAUCCUAGAGUUGGAAGAGGCCCCAAGGGCUAACCAACCAAGCAGGAAAACAUCAGCUCAACAUCAACAGUAUGAUGCAGCUGCUGAGAAAGCCAAUACAAUUCUAGGCUGCAUUAAUAGAUAUAUAUGUUGUGGAAGGCAUUCAUGGCCGGAAUCACAGGGUUAUUGUAUGUUUUCCGGGCUGUAUGGCCAUGUUCAAGAAGCAUUCUCUCCUGACAUUUCAUCCACAUCUAUGGCAGGCAUCCUCAGAGGUUGUGAGGUAUAUUGGGAAAACUAAGCAAGGAAAUUUUAUAUAUCUGUGGAAAGUCCAGGGUGGGAGAAGGAACUCUUGUCUGUUGGAGGCCAGUGUGAAUGUUGUAAUGUUGCCAUAGAUGUGGAUUGUGGAUUAUCUGCCUUGAUAUUCUGGGUUAUAUGGCUGUGUGAAAGGACCCUCAGGGCUUUUCCACACAGCCAGAUAACCCAGAAUAUCAAAGCAGAAUAACCCACAAUAUCUGCUUUGAACUGGGUUAUCUGAGUCCACACUGCCCUAUAUCCCAGUUCAAUGUUUAGUGCUAAAUUCACAAAUAUAGUAAUUCCUACAUAACAUUACCAUGUAUUGAACUGCUUUUUCUGUCAAUUUGUUGUAAAACAUGAUGUUUUGGUGCUAAAUUUGUAAAAUCAUAAUGUAAUUUGAUGUUUAAUAGGCUUUUCCUUAAUCCUUCCUUAUUAACCAACAUUUUUGCUUAAUUCUGUUCACUUACACUUGAAAAUUACCUAGGGCCGGCCCUGUCCAGAAGUAUUCUCUCCUGACGUUUUGCCCACAUCUAUGGCAGGCAUCUUCACAACCUCUGGGCUCGGGCUGUGGCGCAGGCUGGAGAACAGCUGCAAUGAAUCACUGCAAUGAAUCACUCUGACCACGAGGUCAUGAGUUCGAGGCCCGCUCAGAGCCUAUGUUUGUUUGUCUUUGUUCUAUGUUAAAAGGCAUUGAAUGUUUGCCUAUAUGUGUAAUGUGAUCCACCCUGAGUCCCCUUUGGGGUGAGAAGGGCGGAAUAUAAAUGCUGUAAAUAAACCUGCCCGUUCCUUCCAUAAACCUGCCCGUUCCUUGCGAUCAUCCGGGGAGGCCCUGUUAUCACCAUUGCCUAUAUCCCAGGCUCGCCUUGUAAGUACAAGGGAGAGGGCCUUCUCUGCUGUGGCCCCCCGAUUGUGGAACUCACUACCUACUGAAAUAAGGCAAGCUCCCACUCUGUUAGCUUUUAGGAGAGAAUUGAAAACAUGGCUCUUCCGUUGUGCUUUCGGUGAGUAAUUUCUGUCAUAUAUCUCCGUAUUACUCCCCUCCGAACUUCUAUCCUCUAGAUUACCCCUUCCAAAUGUCCCUGCCCAUAGUGGAGUACUUCUCUGUCCCUCUCACUCUGGGUUUUAUCUUUGUGUUCAAGCGGCCUGCCCUUGAUUUAUUGUUGUUGUUGUUUUUUUUGUUUUUUUUUAUUUAUUUAUUGAUGUUCUGUUUAUUAUUAUUUAUUGUAUUUUAAAUGGUGUUAUGAUAUGUUGUUUUUAUAUUUUAUUAUGUUGUAUUGCUCUGGGCAUGGCCCCAUGUUAGCCGCCCCGAGUCCCCAUUGGGGAGAUGGUGGCGGGGUAUAAAUAAAGUUUUAUUAUUAUUAUUAUUAAAUAAAUGUCAGGAGAGAAUACUUCUGGAACAUGGCCAGACAGCCCGGAAAACAUACAACAACCAUUGAGAAGCUUGUUUCCCGCUGAUCUGGAGAUGAGAAGCAAUGGAGCAAUGACUUCAAAUGGCAGGAAAACAUUCCACCUAAACCUCAGGAAGAAAUUCCUGGUGGUAAGAGCUGAUCAGCAGUGGAAUAUGCUGUCUCCGAAGGCAGUGGUGUCUCCUUCUCUGGAGUUAUUCAAGCAGAGGCUGUGUUCCUGCAGGGCAGAAUGGGGUUGGACUGGAUGGCCCUUGGGGUCGCUUCCAACUCUGGGAUUCUAUGAACCUAUGAUCAUUGCCAUCACCAUCAUCUCUCUGUCUUCUCCUCUGUCAUCUUCAUCUUUUGUUUCCUUCUCCUCUCCCUUAUUGUUCCUCUUGCUUUCAUCUGCCUCCUCCUCUUCCAUUUGCUGACUCAUAGGGAGGCAGCUUUGUCUGAGAGCGCUCUCCAUUCCUUGCCAGGAUCUACAUCAUGGGCCUCCAGGGUUUUUUUCUGACAACAUGACUUAUCGGUGCAACAUCUGUCCAGUGGGUGAGCAAGGGAACAGAAGCCACAUGGCAAAGGCAGGCUGCAGGGUAGAGAUUUCGCAGACAUGUUAGCAGCUGAUUCUCCUUGCAGUGACUGAGAAGGGUCGAGUCUUCUUCUUUUUCCUUCCAAGCACAACAUGAGGCCGAAGCAAAGCACUCUUUCUUUUCUUUUUUUUCUAAGGCAGAAUAAACAGCAUAAGAAAGAAGAAAUGAGCAGAGUGUGGUGGAGAAUUCACCGCACAAGAGGAGAGCAGGAGGAGGAAUCCAAACCAUGAAAAAUGAUCUAAGUCCCUUUCAGCCGCUGCACCACUUUCUCUCGACAGACAGUCGCAAUGUUGCCUCUGGCUGUGGAAUCUUUCUCCAUGAAGUCCCGGAGCAAAGCCUCCAGCAGGUCUCCUUGAUCUAGUUUGCCUUUGCCAACCUGAUUCGUCCCAGGCUGGAACACCUCCAGCAUGUGGGCCGAUGAGCAGGCAGGCUUAAUGAACCAACUUGGGGGAUCUGGAAACUUUUCAGAACUUUCCUAGAACCACACAGAACUCUCACUAGCUAUCUCGAUGGUGGGAAACAAAACAAAAUUAUUCUUCUCUCCGAAGGAAAGAGUGGAGGAAUGAAAGUGGUUCUCUUUAUAAAAAACAACAUGAUACUGCU